rnacentral:misc_RNA from 1 species
CACACGCCCUCACGCUCUCUUCUCCCCUAAGCACUAAUGCCAAUGAUUUCACUGAAUCUUGCGAUUACCGGUUCACCGGUGAACGGAAUACCGCUUCUGAGUCACUGAUAACGAUUUUACGGUGCCCAGGAAGAAGAAAAAGAAGCUACAGAGCCACCAGAGUGACCUCGAAAUUGAAGGCAACGACCUUGGCUUGUUUUACUCUUUUCCUUUCGACAGAGAUCCAGCGGUCGUCAAGCCAUCGAGAUUCAAUCUCCGAUCUGAUCACAUUCCUAGCCGCGGAGAGGUGAAGCCAAAGAAGAAAGGAGAAAUGGCUAACAAGAUAUCGAAUUUCUCUGAUCUAAUCCAACGAGUGGCGGCUUCAUGCUUGCUCCACCCACUCGCCGCCGGCAGGCAGGAUCCCGGGAAUGUAGCCGAGGACGGGAGAGAAGGGUACGAGUACGAGACUGACGAGCAGGAAGACUUUGAGGAUGAAGAUGAGGAAUAUGUGGAGGAAGAGGAGGAUAUGGAAGAGAAGAAAGGGAGUGUGAAAGGUUGGGACCACGAGAAGAAGAACAUGAGCGGAAUAGUGGCUAUUGAGAGAGUGAUGGAGAUGGAGAUGUUAAUGAACGAAGUUUUCGAUUCAGUCUCGGCGAUGAAGAGAGCGUAUGUGAGUCUACAAGAGGCGCAUUGCCCGUGGGACCCGGAAAGGAUGAGGGUGGCUGACGUGGCGGUAGUGGGGGAGCUAAGGAGGCUGGGUGUUUUGAGAGAGAGGUUUAGGAGGUGCGUUAGUGUUGGUGGCCGUGGAGGGAGAAAGAGAAUUGAUGGUGACGGAAUGGGGAUGUUAAAGGAGGUGGUGGCGCCUUAUGAGGCUGCGGUGGAGGAGCUGAAGAAGGAGGUGAAGUCGAGGGAUGUGGAGGUGGAGAAUUUGAAAGAGAAACUGAAGAACCUUAGCACCAGCCUGAGCAAUGGGAAUGGAAAGAAA